rnacentral:rRNA from 1 species
GUGAGGAAUAUUGGACAAUGGGCGCAAGCCUGAUCCAGCCAUGCCGCGUGCAGGAAGACGCAUCUAUGGUGUGUAAACUGCUUUUGUACGGGAAGAAACACUCCCUCGUGAGGGAGCUUGACGGUACCGUAAGAAUAAGGAUCGGCUAACUCCGUGCCAGCAGCCGCGGUAAUACGGAGGAUCCAAGCGUUAUCCGGAAACAUUGGGUUUAAAGGGUCCGUAGGCGGUUUAAUAAGUCAGUGGUGAAAGCCCAUCGCUCAACGAUGGAACGGCCAUUGAUACUGUUAGACUUGAAUUACAAGGAAGUAACUAGAAUAUGUAGUGUAGCGGUGAAAUGCUUAGAUAUUACAUGGAAUACCAAUUGCGAAGGCAGGUUACUACUUGUGGAUUGACGCUGAUGGACGAAAGCGUGGGGAGCGAACAGGAUUAGAUACCCGAGUAGUCC